rnacentral:RNase_P_RNA from 1 species
GAAGCUGGCCAGGCAGUCGCUGUUUGUUGUUCUUCGGAAUAACGUGCAGAGGAAAGUCCGGACUCCACAGAGCAGGAUGUCGGCUAAUGACCGAACACCGUGAGGUGAGGAAUAGGGCCACAGAGACGAGCGUAUUAAGUUACGGUGAAACGCGGUAACCUCCAUCCGGAGCAAGACCAAAUAGGCAGGCGAUGAGGUUGCUCGCGGAGCCUGCGGGUAGGUUGCUAGAAUGUACGGGUAACCGUGCAUCCAGAUGAAUGACUGUCCACGACAGAAUCCGGCUUAUCGGCCAGCUUUUUUA